UUUGUGCUAGCGAUUGGAAAUGCUAGUCUAAGCGUUUAGGGAGUUACGGUAGGCAAAUCCGCUGUAACAAUUCUGAGGCGUGAUGGGGAAGGCCAUAUAGGCCGAAGUACAUGAUUCCAUGCUUCCAAGAAAAGCAUCUAGAGAGAGAAGUAGUGCCCGUACCGCAAACCGACACAGGUAGAUGAGGAGAGAAUCCUAAGGCCGGCGGAAGAAUUGCAGUUAAGGAACUAGGCAAAUUGACCCCGUAAGUUCGCGAGAAGGGGUGCCUGCGAGAGCAGGCCGCAGAGAAUAGGCCCAAGCAACUGUUUAGCAAAAACACAGGUCUCUGCUAAAGCGUAAGCUGAUGUAUAGGGGCUGACGCCUGCCCGGUGCUGGAAGGUUAAGGGGAACACUUAGCGCAAGCGAAGGUGUGAACUUAAGCCCCAGUAAACGGCGGCCGUAACAAUAACGGUCCUAAGGUAGCGAAAUUCCUUGUCAGGUAAGUUCUGACCCGCACGAAUGGCGUAAUGACUUGGGCACUGUCUCAACUGCAAAUCCGGCGAAGUUGUAGUGCGAGUGAAGAUGCUCGCUACCCGCGAUUGGACGGAAAGACCCCGUAGAGCUUUACUGUAGCUUAGCAUUGAAUUCCGGUAUUGUCUGUACAGGAUAGGUGGGAGACUGGGAAACUAGGGCGUCAGCCUUAGUGGAGUCAACCUUGGGAUACCACCCUGACAGUACUGGGGUUCUAACAGGACGCCAUGAAUCUGGUGACUGGACAUUGUUAGGUGGGCAGUUUGACUGGGGCGGUCGCCUCCUAAAAAGUAACGGAGGCGCCCAAAGGUUCCCUCAGAACGGUCGGAAAUCGUUCGUAGAGUGCAAAGGCAGAAGGGAGCCUGACUGCGAGACAUACAAGUCGAGCAGGGACGAAAGUCGGGCUUAGUGAUCCGGUGGUACCUCGUGGGAGGGCCAUCGCUCAACGGAUAAAAGCUACCUCGGGGAUAACAGGCUGAUCUCCCCCAAGAGUCCACAUCGACGGGGAGGUUUGGCACCUCGAUGUCGGCUCGUCGCAUCCUGGGGCUGUAGUAGGUCCCAAGGGUUGGGCUGUUCGCCCAUCAAAGCGGCACGCGAGCUGGGUUCAGAACGUCGUGAGACAGUUCGGUCCCUAUCCGUCGCGGGCGUAGGAAAUUUGAGAGGAGCUGUCCUUAGUACGAGAGGACCGGGAUGGACUGACCUCUGGUGUGCCAGUUGUUCCGCCAGGAGCAUGGCUGGGUAGCUAAGUCGGGAAGGGAUAAACGCUGAAAGCAUCUAAGCGUGAAGCCUCCCUCAAGAUGAGAUUUCCCAUAGCAUAAGCUAGUAAGACCCCUUGAAGAACACAAGGUUGAUAGGUCAGAGGUGUAAGUGCGGUAACGUAUUUAGCUGACUGAUACUAAUAGGUCGAGGGCUUGAC
rnacentral:rRNA from 1 species